UUUUGUGCGGCCAACCGACAGNGGGCGGUCUCUUCACUCUCCCUCCUGUCAUUUAAUUGUGNGGNCUGGGAUGCUUGUNAUCGNNUNGNUGUGUACCACUACCCUGUUGUGGGUAGCGAACUUGUCCCUCGAUUGAUAUGUGCUUGCCUUUCUGACAUUUUAUGUCGUUUGGGCAGCCGAAAUGAUGGCGAGAUCCUUGGGUAGGUGCGUGGUCGAAUGNCCUUGUUGCUAUCGCUUGGAUCUUUGCCGUCUCUCACGGAUGCAGUGCUUAGUGCUAGCUCUGUGUGACUUUACUCCGCAGACUUCGGGAGGUCCCUUGUACGAAUCAUGUGAUCAGAUGCCGUUUGUCGUGUUGCUUGUUUGGCACGCAAAUCGUAUUGUUCUGUCCGGAGUCGGGAUGAUGAAAGUCAGAAUGAAGUGUCUGUGGCAUGAUUGCGUACAUGGGGAAUGCCUCUCCGAUUGUAUGAGCAGCGAUUUUCGGCUUGCGCCAUGCGAAGGCCCGCCCGUUUGGGUUGGUGCCGGAGCAGACGCGUCGGCUCUCGUG
rnacentral:misc_RNA from 1 species